UACGUAGGGGGCUAGCGUUGUCCGGAAUCAUUGGGCGUAAAGCGCUUGUAGGCGGCUUGUUAAGUUCCGUGUGAAAUCCCCAGGCUUAACCUGGGAAGUGCGCGGAAAACUGGCGAGCUUGAGUGCCGGAGAGGGUCGCGGAAUUCCCGGUGUAGAGGUGAAAUUCGUAGAUAUCGGGAGGAACACCAGUGGCGAAGGCGGCGACCUGGACGGACACUGACGCUGAGACGCGAAAGCGUGGGGAGCAAACAGG
rnacentral:rRNA from 1 species